rnacentral:rRNA from 1 species
UGGGGAAUAUUGCACAAUGGGCGCAAGCCUGAUGCAGCCAUGCCGCGUGUGUGAAGAAGGCCUUCGGGUUGUAAAGCACUUUCAGCGAGGAGGAAGGUGGUGAGCUUAAUACGCUCAUCAAUUGACGUUACUCGCAGAAGAAGCACCGGCUAACUCCGUGCCAGCAGCCGCGGUAAUACGGAGGGUGCAAGCGUUAAUCGGAAUUACUGGGCGUAAAGCGCACGCAGGCGGUUUGUUAAGUCAGAUGUGAAAUCCCCGGGCUCAACCUGGGAACUGCAUUUGAAACUGGCAAGCUAGAGUCUCGUAGAGGGGGGUAGAAUUCCAGGUGUAGCGGUGAAAUGCGUAGAGAUCUGGAGGAAUACCGGUGGCGAAGGCGGCCCCCUGGACGAAGACUGACGCUCAGGUGCGAAAGCGUGGGGCAGCAAACAGGAUUAGAUACCCCUGGUAGUCCACGCUGUAAAACGAUGUCGAUUUUGGAGGUUGUGCCCUUGAGGCGUGGCUUCCGGAGCUAACGCGUUAAAUCGACCGCCUGGGGAGUACGGCCGCAAGG